rnacentral:rRNA from 1 species
GUAGGGAAUAUUGGGCAAUGGUCGGAAGACUGACCCAACCAUGCCGCGUGCAGGAAGACGGCCCUCUGGGUUGUAAACUGCUUUUAUCUGGGAAGAAAAAGGCCAUGCGUGGCAAAUUGCCGGUACCAGAUGAAUAAGCACCGGCUAACUCCGUGCCAGCAGCCGCGGUAAUACGGAGGGUGCGAGCGUUGUCCGGAUUUAUUGGGUUUAAAGGGUGCGUAGGCGGCUGAUUAAGUCAGCGGUGAAAGACUUCGGCUUAACCGGAGCAGUGCCGUGGAUACUGGUUGGCUUGAGUGUCGGAGGGGUACAUGGAAUUGAUGGUGUAGCGGUGAAAUGCAUAGAUACCAUCAGGAACACCGAUAGCGAAGGCAUUGUACUGGCCGACAACUGACGCUGAUGCACGAAAGUGUGGGGAUCGAACAGGAUUAGAUACCCUUGUAGUCC